GAUUUCAACCGUAUGGAAUCAUCUACAAUGCAGCAGAUGGGUUUACAAGUCUCUUGGUCUCUUCGUGAAGAAGGAGUAGCCAUCGUGUCCCAAGUCCUUGAGGACUUCACAGGGUGUUCUAGUGUCCUGAGAAUAUACCUGCCUAAGGAAUUUGGCUAUAGCUGGUAUUGGGUUCCUCAAACCAGCCCACCUGCGCUAUGGGAAUGUCAAAAUUGUCCUGGCAAGCUGAGGGGGCAUCCAGAGGUCACCCAGCUUUCCCCUGAAGCAUUGCUCAGAGGCUACUGUACCAUAAAAGGGAGUUCCCAUCCCACACUGGUUCUGAAA
rnacentral:lncRNA from 1 species